rnacentral:rRNA from 1 species
UACGUAGGGUGCAAGCGUUAAUCGGAAUUACUGGGCGUAAAGCGUGCGCAGGCGGUUGUGGCAAGACCGAUGUGAAAUCCCCGGGCUUAACCUGGGAAUGGCAUUGGUGACUGCACGGCUAGAGUGUGUCAGAGGGGGGUAGAAUUCCACGUGUAGCAGUGAAAUGCGUAGAGAUGUGGAGGAAUACCGAUGGCGAAGGCAGCCCCCUGGGAUAACACUGACGCUCAU